AGGAUGUAGCUCUGAGCCGCCCGCGGCGCUUGUGCGAACUUGUCCUCUGGGCCUCAGGUGCCGGCCCCCGUGGCUCUCACCUGCCCAGGUCGCGGGGCCGCGGGGAGGAGGCUUCGGAGAACCCGAAAGGAGGCGGAGAUGAAUUGUUUUGACUGAGAGAGCAGAACCGGAGGUGGUAAAGACUGAAAGUGACACCGUCCUUCAGGUAACGCGGGCCAGGACGCUGGGCUUGCUCCUAACUUCCCUCCUUGUCAGCUCCACGAACCGGAGCAGAUGCCAGGAGGCCGUGAACACUGAUGUUCCUGCUGCAUCUGAACAAGUCUCACCUUGAGGCAGCCGCACGGAUUGGCCUGGGCUAGAGCACCCACAUCCAACAGAGGUGGAGCCUCGACCCCUGCCAGGGUGAGGGGACACUGAGGGCAAGAUGCCAGGGGGCCCGGGCCCCGGCUCACCUGUGGAGGGGGCAGGCCUGGUUCCCGAGGGAUAUGUCAAGCCAGCAGGGCCUCUCAAACCAAUAAUCAAGUGCCCAGAAAUGGAGGGAAAUGCCCCACUAAAAAGUCAGGAGGAGCUGGUGGUAGUUGAGCCAAAGGCGACUUCAACACGGAGAACACACGGCUAAUUAAUGUCUUUAGGAUGAUAUAAGAUGAUAGCACACUCAUGAAAUAUAAAGCAAAUAAUUACUUUUAAAAAUUCGAAGUUUAAUCAAAAAUAUGUUUGAAAAUGUAAAUUUAAAAAAAUCCCCACUAUGUCAGCUACAAAAAAGGCAAGGCUGCAUCUGGGGUUGGCUAACCCCACUCCUGACAAGAUCCCUGUAUUCUAAAUACAUUAAAAAAUCAGGAUAGUAAUUACAAAUCAGGGAGAACAGAAGACAGUACAAUUGAAUGAGGGGCAAAGAGCAUGAGCAUACAUUUCUCCAAGUAAUAAGGACAAAUGGCCAGGACGCUCAUGAAAAUAUGGGGCAUUAGUCAUCAGGGGAAUGCACAUCAAACCUACAGGCAGGUGCUUCUUCACGCCACCUCGCACGGGUGGAUAUAAGACAGACAGACAGACAAGUGCUGGCGAGGAUGUGAGGAAGUGGGACCCCUCACACAGUUGUGGCAGGAAGGCACAAUGGUGACGCCACUUUGGAAGACAGUCCAGCAUGUUCCUCAAAAUGAGUUAAAUACGACACAGCAAUCCCGCGCUGGGCCUCUGUCUACCUGGGAGAGACAAGAGCAAACUGACGCACAGUCACUCACAGCAGCGUGGUUCACAACAGCCCAAACAGGGAAACAGCUCAGAAGGCCAUGGACUGACCUGGAGAAGCACGUGCUGUGAUCUCACAUGGAGUGUCCCGGGCAACAAGAGGAGCGAAGUACUGGCCCGAGGCACAAAAUCAAUGAACUCUGAAAACAUUAGCAGGACUCACAAAAGCAGACAGGCAGUACCGCGUCAUUUAGGUGAAAGGUGGAGCGUGAGCAAACCUAUCAAGUGGGAAAGGCGAUUAAUAAACUGCCUGCACCAAGGCAGGCUGCGGGCCUGGGCCGGGGGGUGGCUGCCAGCAGAUACGAGUGUUCCUUCUGGGUGAUAAAAAAAAUUGUCUAAAAUUAGAAUCUGGGAUGGCUGCAAAACUCAGUAAAUAAACUAACACCUUUGAAUUUUCUACUUUAAACCAGGAAACUUUACAGUAUAAAAUUGUACCUCAAUUAAAGCUGUUUAAAAAACAGACUCACACUAGAUAAAAAAAUCUUCAAACUCCAAUGGCAACUUUAUCCAAAAGCAGCAGAACCUGGGCAAAUAAAAAACAACAUGAAUUGCAUAAGGAACAAAACUAUGGAUGUUUUAGAGAUUCAGCAGGUUGAGGAGACACUACAGACCAACUGUCAAGGGCGCAAUGUGUGCAGAACUCAAGGCAUGACACUGUUUCCACAGGGGAUGAAAGCUUCUGGAACCCAGUCGGUUCCCUUGCAGUGCUACAGGGUGGAAAUGCGGACUCCAGAGCCGCCUUAACAGAGGUUUCCUGGGGAGGAGCGAUGGCGCCGCAGGCCCCGCCACACGCCAGGGCCCGCCCCAGUGGGAAGACAGGCAACAAACAACUAAUAAGUAAGUUAUCUGCUUAUGUUAGAUUAAUGAGGUGCAAAAACAGAGCAGGGUGAGAGGACCCAGGGAGCUGGCGGGGUGCAGUUUAGGAAAUGUGUUAAGAAGGGCCCCUCCUCACCCCCCCAGCGCCACCCCCAGCACCCCAGUAGCCCCGCCGUCUGUGGCACCCUGGGAAGAAGGGUAAGACAGCCGGAGGGCGCUGGGGAUGGCCACCUACCACAGCGCCAGGCUCAGACACCACAGGGAAAAAGCCCCCCCAAACCAAAAACAGCCUAGUUGCCAUUAAAACUAAUUUUAUUUCUAAAUUAUGUCUAUAAAAAUAUAAAAAUUUUUAAUGGAUAAGUUCCAAAAUAUUCUUGAACAGCAAAAGCAGGACAAGGAAAUGAAUGGAGAGAGGAGGUACCUCCACAGAAAAGAGACCAUGGGAUCAGCUUCUCCCAAACACUUAAGAAUUCUAUGAUUCUGUCCUUUCAACAUACAACCUGGUUUCCGUAGGGGAUGGUUCAUUCUGUUUUGUUUGACUUGAGAAAAGCUACUUCUAAAAACAAAUGGAACACAAAUUUCUAAGAAUAGCCAAGGUUUUCUAUGGAUCAAGGAGGUGAGAUUUUCCCGAAAGGACAUGAAACUUUUAAAACUGCAGUGACUAGGACUGGAUGAUUUUAACAGAAGGAUAGAUAAAUACACCGAUGGAAAAAAAAAAUCACAAAAACAGGUGGGCACUGAAACAGGCCACCUGUUUUUGGCACGUGGAUCUAUGUGGAUCUAUUCAGAGCACAUGCUGCUGGGCAGGGCCAGGUGAUGACAGUCUAACAUGUGGGGGCAGUGAGCACUGAUCAGUGAGUAUCUACAGGGGAGUAAGAAACCUUUUUCCUUGUCAAUUGCAUGCACAAUAACCAAUUCACUGUGGACUUAACUGUGAAAGAAGAAAGUGGGACACUGAGAAGUUACAGAGAAAUGCGUUUGUAACUUGAGAUUUGGGGGAGUUUUCUUACAUAAGAAAAGGAAAAAUCAGCUAUAGAGGAAGAGAUGGGUAAGUUCAAUUCAAGCCUGUUCAAGUUAAGACUUGUCCACAAAUGUGUGCAAUAAAAAAUGAUAACCCACAAUCUGGGAGAACAUAUUUGCAUACCUAGAAAUGAAAAAGAUGAAAGCCCAGAGUAUGUAAAUAAAACGUAAGAAAUCAGUAAACACACACAUGAAUUAAAGGUGAGAAAACAACUGAAAACUAUUUCACAGAAGAUGAACCACCACUUGGUAAGAAAUGCUCAACACAACAGUUAUCAGUAACACCCAAUAUACAAUCACAGGGAGAUCUACUUCAUACAUAAUGGACACAAAGGAUGGACAAUCUAAGCUGGAGACUAAGUUGCUGGAAAUGACACGGAAUAAACACUCGGCUGCAGCCCUCCACUUUCUGGUAUUUUUAACUUACCCAUAAUCUACAAUCCCAGUUCUCCUAGAUGUGAAAUAUUUAUGAUGCAUUUACACUUGGAGACAAAAAAGAAAAUAACAGCACUGUUGACAAAUCAAAAAUAAACGUGCUGGGGUGGGGGCCGAGCUCUGCGGAGCACCUGCAAGGUACCUAGUUCACUUCCGGUACCUCCUUUUGAUAAAGAAGGAGAAAGAAAAAAAAAAAAACAAAAUAAA